UUAGAUUUCAAAAGAUGGUGGAAGAUGCAACAUUUGGAGACCAGUCUGUCCUGAUGGGUAGAAUCAUGGUUCCCUUGUGCUUGUUGGGGAUAUGUGCAGAUGUUUAACAGUUUGAGGUCUUGAGAGUAAACUGUAUAAUCAUAAGUAAGUUCCUUAAACAUAUGAGUUCACA